rnacentral:rRNA from 1 species
AUUGAACGCUAGCGGGAUGCCUUACACAUGCAAGUCGAACGGAGUGGCGAACGGGUGAGUAAUGUAUCGGAACGUGCCCAGUAGCGGGGGAUAACUACGCGAAAGCGUAGCUAAUACCGCAUACUAUUGGAGCGGCCGAUAUCGGAUUAGCUAGGUGGGGGGGUAACGGCUCACCAAGGCGACGAUCCGUAGCUGGUUUGAGAGGGCGACGAGCAACUCUGGGACUGAGACACGGCCCAGCGUCCUACGGGAGGCAGCAGUGGGGAAUUUUGGAAAAUGGGGGAAACCCUGAUCCAGCACUCCGGCGUGUGCGAUGAAGGCCUUCGGGUUGUAAAGCAUUUUUGGCAGGAAAGCGGUACCUGCAGAAUAAGCACCGGCUAACUACGUGCCAGCAGCCGCGGUAAUUC